UAGUUAAUAGACGCCAUGUGUACAAUUUCUAAGUGCCUGUGUAUCAAGCGUCAUAAGCUGCCAGAGUAUCAGAUACCAUCCUUCGUCCAUUUCAGCUUCUCUUCUUGCCGCUCUCUGUCUCCCUCUCUCUCAGAAACAGAGAAGAUGGUCGUUUCUAGGGUUUUAUGUCGACUUUCAAAGAACAGCCUCAGCAAUUUCUGGUCCUUCGCUUCUUCUACUUCUCGUCAAGAACUGCUUCCAAAUUUCUCCAAAACCUCCUUCAAUGAGUGGGUGCCAUGCCGGACGACUCAGUUGACACAUCAUUCUUUCAUGAGAAAAGGCAUCCUUCAGCGGUUUGGUUUCUCAUCAUCUGCAUCUCCUCAAUCAAAUGAAAAGGAGACUAACCAGGUUAAAGAUAAACAAGGAACUGUGGUGGAUAAGGAUAACAUUUCUCAAGAUGAUACUCACUUGGAGUCAACUAAGAAAACUGAAGACAGUGCAGCACCAGAUCAAGCAGAAUUCCCAGGUUCAAGUUCAGACCCUCAAUCUGUUAAAAAGAGGAGGAGAACUAAACGAACUGCAUUUUCUGAUUCAGAUACAGACGAUGAUUUGUCUAUGGAUGAUCUAGUAAAGCUAGUGGCGGAGAAGGAAGAAUUACUCAAGUUGAAACACAAGGAGGUUGAAUUACUGCAAGAGAAAGUUCUUCGUAGCUAUGCAGAAAUGGAGAAUGUCAUAGAGAGGACAAGACGUGAGGCAGAAAACUCAAAAAAGUUUGCUAUACAGGCCUUUGCCAAGAGCUUAUUAGACGUCGCAGACAAUCUUGGGAGAGCUUCCUCUAUUGUGAGAGAGAGCUUUUCAAAGAUUGAUCAAUCUAAAGACUCGGCUGGAGCUGUUCCCCUUCUAAAAACACUUUUGGAGGGUGUUGAAAUGACUGAGAAGCAGCUUAUAGAGGUAUUUAGAAAGUUCGGAGUGGAGAAAUUCAAUCCUAUUAAUGAACAGUUUGAUCCAAAUAGACACUAUGCGGUUUUCCAAGUACCUGAUGCUUCAAAGCCACCUGGCACAGUUGCUGCUGUUCUGAAGUCUGGAUACAUGCUCUAUGACCGCGUUCUUCGGCCAGCUGAAGUUGGCGUUACUGUGGCUUUAAAUGACGGGGUGCCUGACCAAAGUUCCAAAGCAUGAAGCCAGAAAAUCUUGAGCCAGAAUACUAGUUUCAUUCAGUUGAAAAUCUGUAUAAUUGUGUGAAAGGUAGAAGAAAGAGAGUUAUUUAAAGAGUUGGAUGCUGUGAUGAGGCUAGGAGGAAACACUGGAAUGACAAGCAUAGUUGCGUGAGAUGCGCGGGUCUUCUGCAGCAGCAAUGUGCCACACUCACCAGAUGAGGAACAUUCAACAAUGGCUGUCCUCAUAAAUAUGCCGUGUCCUAAAAAUCAGCACCCACUAAUUGAAUUUUUUUUCACCGGAGGUUCCCUCGAAUGCUCCGAUACAUGUAUCCUAUACACAUAUACCAAUGUAUUGCAAAUUUGCAAUAUGGUACGCCAGUACAUCAACCGUUCAAUCUGGGUUAUCUUCUAAUGAUCCAAA